GGUCUAAUUAGCGCGAAUGAACGGCAGCUGUUUGCUGGUUUGUGAGUAAAGUCAAAUGUAAGAGGUUUAAAACGGGUUUAAAGUGUGUUUUACUGGUCACUGUGAUUCAUGUACUCAAACACAAGGCUGCUAACAAGCGGACACUUUCAUCUUUUACCCUCACAAGUUCAAUAAUAAACGUAUUAGGAGGAGAUGGUGUGUUGUUAGCCUCUCCAGCUAAUCGGCUAAGUUAGCUUCUCCCAGGGGCUGGACUGCGCAGACGCACUGAGUGAAGUUUAAACGUUUAUUUUAAUAUACGUUAUAUUAUAUUAUUAUUUUAAUAUACGUUACCCCGUUACGUUAAUAAUAUAUUAAAACGUAUAUUGACCUCAGAGGAGAAGAACCUCCAUGUCAGCGGGCCACGGUCAACCAGCAGCCCGCCGUUACCCUGCCUUCAGUCCGCCACCGACGACCUCCACCACCGGGAGUUACCUGCAGCUACUAUGCUGAUGAGCUGCUGUGACGGGUUUAAUCCCACAGAUGAAAACCCGAUCCCUCACCUUUAUAACAACCAGCUCCUCGUGAUCGUCUCUAAUCUGCCGUCAGCGGCGAGGAGGACGUGCCUCGGCCUGUUCGUCCCUGGAGUUUCCAGAAGAACCUGAGGGUUCUCUGGUUUCCUCCUCCCACAGUCCAGAAGCAUGCAGAGGUUAAUUGGACACUGGCGACUUCGUCCUUCACCUUAUGUCAGCUGGGAUUGUCUCCAGGU